AGUGAACGCUGGCGGUGGGCCUAACACAUGCAAGUCGAACGGCAGCACAGUAAGAGCUUGCUCUUACGGGUGGCGAGUGGCGGACGGGUGAGGAAUACAUCGGAAUCUACUUUUUCGUGGGGGAUAACGUAGGGAAACUUACGCUAAUACCGCAUACGACCUACGGGUGAAAGCAGGGGAUCUUCGGACCUUGCGCGAUUGAAUGAGCCGAGGUCGGAUUAGCUAGUUGGCGGGGUAAAGGCCCACCAAGGCGACGAUCCGUAGCUGGUCUGAGAGGAUGAUCAGCCACACUGGAACUGAGACACGGUCCAGACUCCUACGGGAGGCAGCAGUGGGGAAUAUUGGACAAUGGGCGCAAGCCUGAUCCAGCCAUACCGCGUGGGUGAAGAAGGCCUUCGGGUUGUAAAGCCCUUUUGUUGGGAAAGAAAAGCAGCAGGUUAAUACCCCGCUGUUCUGACGGUACCCAAAGAAUAAGCACCGGCUAACUUCGUG
rnacentral:rRNA from 1 species